ensembl:misc_RNA 7SK 7SK RNA
ACAUAUUUCGGUCAAGGGUAUAUGAGUAGCUGCACUCCCCUGCUAGAACCUCCAAACAAGCUCUCAAGAAUAAUACAUAUGUGUGUUUUUAUAUAUC